rnacentral:misc_RNA from 1 species
GGUUGGAUCCCGGCCUAGCGCAGCGACGUCCAACCUUGCUAUCCUCUUCAAUUUUGGCACAAUUUACGUUGGCCGUACGUUGGUUUCCUGUGUUUCGUACCUACUCGAUGGAAUUCGAUUGUCGAUCUCUAGCCGUUCGCCUCAGGCUGCCCGUUAACUCGGUGCGGCUGCGGGUGAAACUCGAAACGGGAUUCGUGUCCCCCGUGCUGCACGUUUCGUGUCGGCAACGCGGUGCAUGAAUUCUCGCUCGGGCGCUGGGAUGCAGAAAACGAUGAGGGCGGAGCCAAAGACUCCUAUUUGUCCGCAACAAGGCUUCUAACAAAGGCCUAUUUCGAACGACUUCGGUCCCGUUCCGGCCUCGUGCCGUGCGGGCCGAUGUCCGUGAGGAAUGCUAC